UAUCUGGUUGAUCCUGCCAGUAGUCAUAUGCUUGUCUCAAAGAUUAAGCCAUGCAUGUCUAAGUACAAACCUUAAUACGGUGAAACGCGAAUGGCUCAUUAAAUCAGCUAUGGUUCCUUAGAUCGUCUCAUCCUACUCGGAUAACUGUGGAAAAUCUAGAGCUAAUACGUGCUUACAAGCCCUGACCUCACGGGAGGGGCGCAUUUAUUAGAUCAAAACCAAUCGGGGGCUUGCCCCGUCUGCUUGGUGACUCUGGAUAACUUUUGUGCUGAUCGCAUGGCCUCUGCGCUGGCGACGUAUCUUUCAAGUGUCUGCCCUAUCAACUUACGAUGGUAGGUGAUAUGCCUACCAUGGUUAUAACGGGUAACGGGGAAUCAGGGUUCGAUUCCGGAGAGGGAGCCUGAGAAACGGCUACCACAUCUAAGGAAGGCAGCAGGCGCGCAAAUUACCCACUCCCGGCACGGGGAGGUAGUGACGAAAAAUAACGAUACGGGACUCUUUUGAGGCCCCGUAAUUGGAAUGAGUACACUUUAAAUCCGUUAACAAGUAUCUAUUGGAGGGCAAGUCUGGUGCCAGCAGCCGCGGUAAUUCCAGCUCCAAUAGCGUAUAUUAAUGUUGCUGCAGUUAAAAAAAGCUCGUAGUUGGAUCUGAGGACUCGAAUUGGUGGCUGCACCAUACGGUGUUACUGCCGAUUCGGCCUACCUAGUCGGUGCUCGCUCUUGGUGUUCUUAAUUGAAUGCCUGAGUGC
rnacentral:ncRNA from 1 species